AUGCAGUCGAACGAUGAAGCCCUUCGGGGUGGAUUAGUGGCGAACGGGUGAGUAACACGUGGGCAAUCUGCCCUUCACUCUGGGACAAGCCCUGGAAACGGGGUCUAAUACCGGAUAACACUCUGUCCCUCAUGGGACGGGGUUAAAAGCUCCGGCGGUGAAGGAUGAGCCCGCGGCCUAUCAGCUUGUUGGUGGGGUAAUGGCCUACCAAGGCGACGACGGGUAGCCGGCCUGAGAGGGCGACCGGCCACACUGGGACUGAGACACGGCCCAGACUCCUACGGGAGGCAGCAGUGGGGAAUAUUGCACAAUGGGCGAAAGCCUGAUGCAGCGACGCCGCGUGAGGGAUGACGGCCUUCGGGUUGUAAACCUCUUUCAGCAGGGAAGAAGCGAAAGUGACGGUACCUGCAGAAGAAGCGCCGGCUAACUACGUGCCAGCAGCCGCGGUAAUACGUAGGGCGCAAGCGUUGUCCGGAAUUAUUGGGCGUAAAGAGCUCGUAGGCGGCUUGUCACGUCGGAUGUGAAAGCUCGGGGCUUAACCCCGAGUCUGCAUUCGAUACGGGCUAGCUAGAGUGUGGUAGGGGAGAUCGGAAUUCCUGGUGUAGCGGUGAAAUGCGCAGAUAUCAGGAGGAACACCGGUGGCGAAGGCGGAUCUCUGGGCCAUUACUGACGCUGAGGAGCGAAAGCGUGGGGAGCGAACAGGAUUAGAUACCCUGGUAGUCCACGCCGUAAACGUUGGGAACUAGGUGUUGGCGACAUUCCACGUCGUCGGUGCCGCAGCUAACGCAUUAAGUUCCCCGCCUGGGGAG
rnacentral:rRNA from 1 species